rnacentral:rRNA from 1 species
AGAGUUUGAUCAUGGCUCAGGAUGAACGCUGGCGGCGUGCCUAACACAUGCAAGUCGAACGAAGAGGCCCCUUCGGGGGUACUUCAGUGGCGGACGGGUGAGUAACACGUAGGCGACCUGCCCCGAAGCAGGGGAUAACGGCCCGAAAGGGCCGCUAAUACCCAAAAGGGUCACGAGUCACAUCGUGAUCAGAGUUACGGCGUUUCGGGAGGGGCCUGCGGCCCAUCAGCUAGUUGGUAGGGUAACGGCCUACCAAGGCAACGACGGGUAGGGGGCCUGAGAGGGUGAUCCCCCACAUUGGCACUGACACACGGGCCAAACUCCUACGGGAGGCAGCAGUGAGGAAUAUUGCACAAUGAGCGAAAGCUAGAUGCAGCAACGCCGCGUGGACGAUGAAGGCCUUCGGGUCGUAAAGUCCUUUUCAGGGGGACGAGUGAGGACGGUACCUCUGGAAUAAGUCACGGCUAACUACGUGCCAGCAGCCGCGGUAAAACGUAGGUGGCGAGCGUUAUCCGGAUUCACUGGGCGUAAAGCGCCUGCAGGCGGUCUCGUAAGUGGGAUGUGAAAUCUCUUGGCUCAACUGGGAGGGGCCAUUCCAUACUGCGGGACUUGAGGGCAGAAGAGGGAAGCGGAAUUCCCGGUGUAGUGGUGAAAUGCGUAGAUAUCGGGAGGAACACCAGUGGCGAAGGCGGCUUCCUGGCCUGCUCCUGACGCUAAGAGGCGAAAGCUAGGGGAGCGAACGGGAUUAGAAACCCCGGUAGUCCUAGCCGUAAACGAUGGAUACUGGGUGUCGGCGGUCCUAACCCCGUCGGUGCCGAAGCAAACGCGUUAAGUAUCCCGCCUGGGGACUACGACCGCAAGGUUAAAACUCAAAUGAAUUGACGG